rnacentral:rRNA from 1 species
GUUAAAGCACCUUUUAGGUGUGUAUAAAGUGGCGAACGGCUGAGUAACACGUGGGCAACCUGCCCUCCUCUUGGGGAUAGCCUCGGGAAACCGAGGAUAAUACCCGAUACUUCAAUGUGGCCGCAUGACGACAUUGAGAAAGCUUUUGCGGAGAAGGAUGGGCCCGCGGCCUGUUAGCUUGUUGGUGGGGUAGAGGCCUACCAAGGCAAUGAUGGGUAGCUGGGUUGAGAGACCGACCAGCCAGAUUGGGACUGAGACACGGCCCAGACUCCUACGGGAGGCAGCAGUGGGGAAUCUUGCACAAUGGGCGAAAGCCUGAUGCAGCGACGCCGCGUGCGGGAAGAAGGCCUUCGGGUUGUAAACCGCUUUCAGCAGGGACGAGGCGUAAGUGACGGUACCUGCAGAAGAAGCCCCGGCUAACUACGUGCCAGCAGCCGCGGUAAUACGUAGGGGGCAAGCGUUAUCCGGAUUCAUUGGGCGUAAAGCGCUCGUAGGCGGUCUGUUAGGUCGGGAGUUAAAUCCGGAGGCUCAACCUCCGUUCGCUCCCGAUACCGGCAGACUUGAGUUUGGUAGGGGAAGGUGGAAUUCCUAGUGUAGCGGUGGAAUGCGCAGAUAUUAGGAAGAACACCAGUGGCGAANGCGGCCUUCUGGGCCACAACUGACGCUGAGGAGCGAAAGCUAGGGGAGCAAACAGGAUUAGAUACCCUGGUAGUCCUAGCUGUAAACGAUGGACACUAGGUGUGGGAGAAUACGUCUUCCGUGCCGCAGCUAACGCAUUAAGUGUCCCGCCUGGGGAGUACGGCCGCAAGGCUAAAACUCAAAGGAAUUGACGGGGACCCGCACAAGCAGCGGANCAUGUGGUUUAAUUCGAAGCAACGCNAANAACCUUACCAGGGCUUGACAUGUAGNUGAAGC